UUAAGCGACUAAGCGUACACGGUGGAUGCCCUGGCAGUCAGAGGCGAUGAAGGACGUGCUAAUCUGCGAAAAGCGUCGGUAAGGUGAUAUGAACCGUUAUAACCGGCGAUGUCCGAAUGGGGAAACCCAGUGCAAUUCGUUGCACUAUCGUUAACUGAAUACAUAGGUUAACGAGGCGAACCGGGGGAACUGAAACAUCUAAGUACCCCGAGGAAAAGAAAUCAACCGAGAUUCCCCCAGUAGCGGCGAGCGAACGGGGAGCAGCCCAGAGUCUGAAUCAGCUUGUGUGUUAGUGGAACGGUCUGGAAAGUCCGACGGUACAGGGUGAUAGUCCCGUACACCAAAAUGCACAGGCUGUGAACUCGAAGAGUAGGGCGGGACACGUGGUAUCCUGUCUGAAUAUGGGGGGACCAUCCUCCAAGGCUAAAUACUCCUGACUGACCGAUAGUGAACCAGUACCGUGAGGGAAAGGCGAAAAGAACCCCGGCGAGGGGAGUGAAAAAGAACCUGAAACCGUGUACGUACAAGCAGUGGGAGCACCUUCGGGUGUGACUGCGUACCUUUUGUAUAAUGGGUCAGCGACUUAUAUUCUGUAGCAAGGUUAACCGUAUAGGGGAGCCGCAGGGAAACCGAGUCUUAACUGGGCGUUAAGUUGCAGGGUAUAGACCCGAAACCCGGUGAUCUAGCCAUGGGCAGGUUGAAGGUUGGGUAACACUAACUGGAGGACCGAACCGACUAAUGUUGAAAAAUUAGCGGAUGACUUGUGGCUGGGGGUGAAAGGCCAAUCAAACCGGGAGAUAGCUGGUUCUCCCCGAAAGCUAUUUAGGUAGCGCCUCGUGAACUCAUCUUCGGGGGUAGAGCACUGUUUCGGCUAGGGGGUCAUCCCGACUUACCAACCCGAUGCAAACUACGAAUACCGAAGAAUGUUAUCACGGGAGACACACGGCGGGUGCUAACGUCCGUCGUGAAGAGGGAAACAACCCAGACCGCCAGCUAAGGUCCCAAAGUCAUGGUUAAGUGGGAAACGAUGUGGGAAGGCACAGACAGCCAGGAUGUUGGCUUAGAAGCAGCCAUCAUUUAAAGAAAGCGUAAUAGCUCACUGGUCGAGUCGGCCUGCGCGGAAGAUGUAACGGGGCUAAACCAUGCACCGAAGCUGCGGCAGCGACACUAUGUGUUGUUGGGUAGGGGAGCGUUCUGUAAGCCUGCGAAGGUGUGCUGUGAGGCAUGCUGGAGGUAUCAGAAGUGCGAAUGCUGACAUAAGUAACGAUAAAGCGGGUGAAAAGCCCGCUCGCCGGAAGACCAAGGGUUCCUGUCCAACGUUAAUCGGGGCAGGGUGAGUCGACCCCUAAGGCGAGGCCGAAAGGCGUAGUCGAUGGGAAACAGGUUAAUAUUCCUGUACUUGGUGUUACUGCGAAGGGGGGACGGAGAAGGCUAUGUUAGCCGGGCGACGGUUGUCCCGGUUUAAGCAUGUAGGCUGGUUGUCCAGGCAAAUCCGGAUAAUCAAGGCUGAGGUGUGAUGACGAGGCACUACGGUGCUGAAGUAACAAAUGCCCUGCUUCCAGGAAAAGCCUCUAAGCAUCAGGUAACAUUAAAUCGUACCCCAAACCGACACAGGUGGUCAGGUAGAGAAUACCAAGGCGCUUGAGAGAACUCGGGUGAAGGAACUAGGCAAAAUGGUGCCGUAACUUCGGGAGAAGGCACGCUGGUGUGUAGGUGAAGCCCCUGCGGGUGGAGCUGAGACCAGUCGAAGAUACCAGCUGGCUGCAACUGUUUAUUAAAAACACAGCACUGUGCAAACACGAAAGUGGACGUAUACGGUGUGACGCCUGCCCGGUGCCGGAAGGUUAAUUGAUGGGGUUAUCCGUAAGGAGAAGCUCUUGAUCGAAGCCCCGGUAAACGGCGGCCGUAACUAUAACGGUCCUAAGGUAGCGAAAUUCCUUGUCGGGUAAGUUCCGACCUGCACGAAUGGCGUAAUGAUGGCCAGGCUGUCUCCACCCGAGACUCAGUGAAAUUGAACUCGCUGUGAAGAUGCAGUGUACCCGCGGCAAGACGGAAAGACCCCGUGAACCUUUACUAUAGCUUGACACUGAACAUUGAGCCUUGAUGUGUAGGAUAGGUGGGAGGCUUUGAAGCGUGGACGCCAGUCUGCGUGGAGCCAACCUUGAAAUACCACCCUUUAAUGUUUGAUGUUCUAACGUUGGCCCCUGACCGGGGUUGCGGACAGUGUCUGGUGGGUAGUUUGACUGGGGCGGUCUCCUCCCAAAGCGUAACGGAGGAGCACGAAGGUUAGCUAAUCCUGGUCGGACAUCAGGAGGUUAGUGCAAUGGCAUAAGCUAGCUUGACUGCGAGCGUGACGGCGCGAGCAGGUGCGAAAGCAGGUCAUAGUGAUCCGGUGGUUCUGAAUGGAAGGGCCAUCGCUCAACGGAUAAAAGGUACUCCGGGGAUAACAGGCUGAUACCGCCCAAGAGUUCAUAUCGACGGCGGUGUUUGGCACCUCGAUGUCGGCUCAUCACAUCCUGGGGCUGAAGUAGGUCCCAAGGGUAUGGCUGUUCGCCAUUUAAAGUGGUACGCGAGCUGGGUUUAGAACGUCGUGAGACAGUUCGGUCCCUAUCUGCCGUGGGCGCUGGAGAAUUGAGGGGGGCUGCUCCUAGUACGAGAGGACCGGAGUGGACGCAUCACUGGUGUUCGGGUUGUCAUGCCAAUGGCACUGCCCGGUAGCUAAAUGCGGAAGAGAUAAGUGCUGAAAGCAUCUAAGCACGAAACUUGCCCCGAGAUGAGUUCUCCCUGAGACUUUAAGUCUCCUGAAGGAACGUUGAAGACGACGACGUUGAUAGGCCGGGUGUGUAAGCGCAGCGAUGCGUUGAGCUAACCGGUACUAAUGAACCGUGAGGCUUAACCUU
rnacentral:rRNA from 1 species